CCUAAUUAGUUUCAGCAUAGAGAAUCUCCCACCGGCUGGAGCUAGUCAAUGGUCUAUUGACCCAGACAUGGAUGGGAGAUAGUUUGCUGUCUGAAGCCAGAACUGAAAGUCAUGAUGAUCAUGUGGCGGCUCUGACAGAGGGAUCAAUGAGGAAGGAAAAAUGAGGCAAAGUUUUUCGUAAGACCAGAUCCAGGAAAGGAUCUUCACUCUGCAGACAUGAUGCUGGGAUGCUGGGUUUUGCUGUUCGGUGCUUUGCUCUCCUGUGGUGUUUCAGCUUUCAAUGAACAGGAACCAUGGAUUCAACAUUCCCAUCAAGUUCACUGUGACUCAGGAUGGACUUUAUUUCCAAUGUUAAAGACUUGUUAUAAAUUCUUCACAAAAGCAACAUCCUG